rnacentral:tRNA from 2 species
GCCGGUGUAGCUCAGUUGGUAGAGCGGCGCAUUCGUAAUGCGAAGGUCGGAAGUUCGAAUCUUCUCCCCGGCACCA